AUAACUUACUGCAGUGCAGACCCUGUGUUCUGAUGUCAGCUGCAUCUUUACAGCCGCCGUGGCGAUCUUUAGGCUGCCUUGAGGGCGAAUUCCGCAGCUUCCUACCCAAGAGCCGGAGGCGUCUCGCAUUAAGAGCGACUCCAGCCCAAAGCUGCCACUGACCGCGUCCAGCUGGGAAGGAGAAGGACGCCGAGUGCUGCCAGCCCAGCUGGCUCGCCUGCCGUGCCCACCAUCCUCUGCCUUGCCGAGGGAAGAUAGGAAGAGCCUUCGUCUACUGCUGGAGCUGUGCCACUAAGUUCCUGCCUUUCCUGACGCCAUGUCUCUUUGUUCCAGUGGGGUGGUGAGGUCUAGCAGUUUUGAUAUCUAGCAGUUAUUUACUUUUUUCCUACCUGUUGGCAUCCUCUUUGUUAAUAAACCGUGGUUUUUUUAAACUCUC